CAUCCCUUUGACGCCCACUGGAUUAGAAACAACGCUGUAUCCAACAUCAUUUGCUGUUUAGUGUUUGGGUGUCGAUUUGAAUACACUGACAAGCAGUUCCAGACUAUUCUUAAGAACUUCAGUGAGUCAGUGCACUUAGAGGGAACCAUGUCCGUACAGAUGAAACAUUGCAUUUAGACUCGAAGGAACUAAAUGUGACAUGAAGACUACAAUGAACUGGCAAGGUGAGAAGAAAACAAAAGGAUACAGAAGGAAUAACGAGGAGGAAAAGAUGAAGUAAACGAACAAAUCAAACCAGGUGAACUAAUGAACAGGAAAUAAAGCAAAACUGUCAGGAAACUGUGGGCUUGAGGACCCAAGCGAAGGCAGACGAGGCAGGAGGCAGACCGGUGCAGGUAAAAAGGUUUUAAUAAC